rnacentral:rRNA from 1 species
AUGGCUUGUAAUAGAACACCCGGCCUGGAUAACAUACCAGGGGUAUUUUAUAUGCAUUGCUGGGAUUUUGUCAAAAAAGACAUUAUGCGCCUGUUUGAGGCCUUUCAUAGCAACUCCCUGGAUGUGGCUCGACCGAAUUAUGGGGUUAUCACCUUGAUCACUAAGAUGAAUGUGACCAAAAAGAUUCAGCAAUACCUCCCCAUAUGCCUCUUGAGAUGUCCAUAUAAGCUUAUAAAUAAAGUGUUAGACAAUCGGGUAGCUAUUUUUGCUGAUAAGCUGAUUAGUAGACAUCAAAAUGCUUUCAUUCAGCAUAGAAAUAUCAUGGAUGGCAUCCUAACGCUAUAUGAGGUGAUCCACCACACCCAUCAUAAGAAAAAGGUGGGGGUUGUAUUGAAACUAGACUUUGAAAAGGCCUACGUUAAAAUUAAUUGGGACUUUCUCCUUGAUUGUCACCGAGAUGGUGGAUUCGGACCUACUUGGUGUGAGUGGAUUCAAAAAGUUCUUUGCAAUGGGACGGUUAGUAUUAAGCUCAAUAACGAGGUGGGCUCGUAUUUCCAUAGUUAUAAAGGGGUACGACAAGGCGACCCAUUCUCACCUUUCCUGUUUAAUUUGGCUGUGGAAGUUCUUUAA